rnacentral:rRNA from 1 species
UACGUAGGGACCGAGCGUUGUCCGGAAUCAUUGGGCGUAAAGAGCGUGUAGGCGGCCACUUAAGUCCUGCGUGAAAUCUUGCGGCUCAACCGCAAGCGGUCGUGGGAAACUGGGUGGCUAGAGUGCGGGAGAGGAGAGUGGAAUUCCUGGUGUAGCGGUGGAAUGCGCAGAUAUCAGGAAGAACACCGGUGGCGAAGGCGACUCACUGGCCCGAUACUGACGCUGAGGCGCGAAAGCGUGGGGAGCAAACAGG